GACGAACGCUGGCGGCGUGCCUAAUACAUGCAAGUUGAGCGCUGAAGGUUGGUGCUUGUACCAACUGGAAGAGCAGCGAACGGGUGAGUAACGCGUGGGGAAUCUGCCUUUGAGCGGGGGACAACAUUUGGAAACGAAUGCUAAUACCGCAUAAUAACUUUAAACAUAAGUUUUAAGUUUGAAAGAUGCAAUUGCAUCACUCAAAGAUGAUCCCGCGUUGUAUUAGCUAGUUGGUGAGGUAAAGGCUCACCAAGGCGAUGAUACAUAGCCGACCUGAGAGGGUGAUCGGCCACACUGGGACUGUGACACGCCCCAAACGCCUACGGGAGGGAGCAGGAGGGAAUCUUCGGCAAGGGACGAAAGUCUGACCGCGCAACGCCGAGGGAGGGAAGAAGGUUGUCGGAUCGUAAAACUCGGUUGGUAGAGAAGAACGUUGGUGAGAGUGGAAAGCUCAUCAAGUGACGGUAACUACUCAGAAAGGGACGGCUAACUACGUG
rnacentral:rRNA from 1 species